rnacentral:lncRNA from 1 species
UCCCGUUCAUUUUCAACUCUCGAAAGUUGAUGUGGCUGGUUGGAUGUGUAUGUAAGCAAAACUAAGAGCUUUGUAUAUAUCGUCGAUGAGGCCUAGCUCAAGUGGCAAAGUCGAGGCACCCAAAAACUUUCAUUUGUGAGAGGUUUUGGUUUCAAUCCCUCCUGUGUGAGGGUAGUUUUUCCCACUUUUGUGUGGUGGAAUAGUGGUCUCGCCUGUAUGCGGUUAUUUUUCACCUUUGUGUGGUGCAGAGGUCCUGGACUCCUGAGUAGUAUUUCCACCUUUGUGUGAAAAGUGGUCCCGCUUGCAUGCGGUUAUUUUUCCAUCUUUGUGUGGUAUAGAGAUCCCGCCUGCGUGUAGGUUGCUUAUUUAGAGGUGGAUAAAAAUUAAACAAAUACGAACAUUAAAAGUAUGCUUAAUAAUAUAUGUGAGCAAUGGCUACAGAUUUGACAAAGCAAAAUUAAAUUGUAGCUGAACUAAUUAAGAAUAUGCAAUAAAUACAAAAAAUUUAAGCAUAUGUAAGAGAAAUUGAGCUAGAGCGAGGGAGAGAAAGAAAAUAGAGGAGUUGGAAGAAUGGAUAUACUUGAAAAUUGAAGAGUUGAGCUUACGAAAUUGGAAUUAUUUGUAACAGUGAAAAAUUAGAAGGAAAUAAUUUUAAUAAAAAUUGUUAAGUGUAUCAUGAGCGGAUAAAGAGUCUCACCUAAAUAAUGAUGAUAAUAAUAUAAUAAUAAUUAAUUAUAUCGUGAGUUUAUAAAGGAAUCUACUAUGUGGCAAUAAGUUGAUUUUUAAAAAUAAAUAUGUAAAUAAGUUGAUAUAUUGAUGGAAUUAUGUUAUGAGGUAAUGUCUAUAAAUAAAAAGAGACUAUUUUUAUGGAUGUACCAAAAUAAUAAAAAUAGACUAUUAUUCAAGGUGGAGGGAAUAUUUUUUUUUUCCUAAAAACGACAUAUAUAUAAAAUAGGAGGGAGUAGUUUCAUAUAGUAAUUUUUUAAGACCAUGAGUCGUGUCAUAUCACCUAGGUUACUAACUCUUUCUUUUUAACUCACUUAUGCAUUUACUUUAAUUGAUCUCCAAUUUUCAUUUUAUUUUCCAUUUAUAUUUUCAUUAAUGACACCUUUAAAUUUUAGUAGAUAUGUAAAAUUAAUUAUAUACUUUAAAUUUUUUUAUUAUAUACUAAUAUAUACCUUGAAAUAUAAUAAUAAAUUCAGUGUGUGUAUAUAAAGAAUAUAUGUACACCAUUUCACAUAACACGACAUAAAUGCAUAAUGAAACUUCUCAAUUAUGGUUUUGCUUUAAAAUUUGUUUAUGAUAAAAUUUAUUUUUCUAAAAUUACAUUAUUUUUAUUUUGUAAUCUCAAGCUUAAAAUAAAUCUAUCAAUAUAAAAUUUAUAAUUACUUUUUAUUAAAUUAAAUUAUAAAAAAAUAAAUUAUACAUAUGUAUAAAUACAAAUAAUAAACAUUAAAUUAGAAGUUUCGUGCAUAACACAAGGGAACAACUAAUUUUAUCAGAAAAUAGAACUUAAGAAAUCAAUAAUAGAGAGAUAAUUUUGUCAUAGCCUAAAAUAGUUUAGCUGAGCUGUGACUUAGGAUGGGAUUAUCAUUUCAUUCAUUUUUUUUGUUUUUUUUUUUUGUUUUUUCAAAGACUUACAUUUACAUAAGCAUUAGGAUCUCAAGGAUCAAAAAAGGAUAAUACCAUAGUCUCUUUAUAACGAUACCAAGAUAAGAGGAUUUACUAAUCGAAUGGAGGGGCUUAUUCAUUAGUCAUGAUAUUUAAUACUAAAUCAAAAGGUUUUGCAUCGGAAAGCAUGUGAGUUAGCAUACGAAGAUGUAUAUUUUUAAAGUGUACAUAUUUUUAUUUAUUGACAUAAUCAUUCCAUUCAAUGAUGUUCCAUUCUAUCUGAGCUUAACCUGCAUAUUAGAAAAAUAAUUUGCAGAUUUAAGUACAAAGUAGUACUCAAUGAACAUAUGUUUAACAUUUAAGUGUAUUAUCUUUAGUUGAUAAAUUUAUUAUGAAAAAAUGUGAAAUAAUAAAAAAAUUUCUAUUUAAUUUAAUUUGUUGAGUUAUUUUGUAUGUCGAAUUUUAGGGGAAUUUUUGUCGAUUCCUUGAGAGAUGAUUUUACUUAGGUCGACUAUCAGAUUAUUUUUGGUGAAAGCGAUGUCAUCUUGUCAGGGAUUGAUUUUAAGAAGCAAGUUUCCUAUUUUCCAUUCUCUCCAUGUCUCUCUUUUAUUAUUAUUGAUUCCAAAACUGAAGUUGAACUGUCUUAAGAUGGAGAUGGUCGUGAUGCUAUUCUGUUGCGACCGGCCACAAUUGAAGAGAGAUGGGGCCGCCACAGAAGAAAUCAUGCUUCCGUAUAUUGUGUUGCCCACUAUUAAUCAAAAUAUGUUGAAAUCAAGCCUGACUUCAUUCCAGUUCUUUCGAGAUUCGAGGAUUCAACACGGAGAGAGUGCACAUUAACAAAAUUUCACUAUUAAUCAACGGAGUAGACUGUUCCCGUGCAUAUAACAUGAAUCUAUGCUCAAACUAUUCCAGAGACAUCAAUAUCAUAUCACAUUAAAUUCUUAAAAAGUUGACCAAAAUUCAUAUAACAUGAAUCUAUAUAUGCUCAAACUAUUCAAGAAACAUCAAUAUCAUAUCAUAUUAAAUUCUUAAAAAGUUGACCAAAAUUCAUACUUGCAUAAGUUUGGAUGAAACUUGGUAUGCUCACUCACAACGAGCAUAGGAACAACAUUAACACACAAAUUUUUAUCAUUGGAGAUAGCUAACUAAAAAACGUAGCCCAAUAUAUAUAUCCUCACUUUUUCAUACUCAAAUCUUAGUUUUUAAAGCAGCUAGAGCAAGAUUAGAUGAUUGCCUACCUUGGUAUCGGAUUAGAUUCGUCGAGAAAUCAAAGCUGUCUUUGAAAGCUUCAAGAACUCUCUCAAUCACUUUUUCUCUCUCUAAUUUCAU